CGGCCAUAUCAAGUUAAAAUACCGAUUCUCGUACGAUUACCGAAGUUAAGCAACGUUGAGCCUAAUCAGUACCUACAAGUGUGGCCGCUUGGAAAUACCAGGUGUUGUAA